GUGUACAGAUUGUGUCUCGUGGGACAGACUCCACAGCCCAAAGGGCAGCACAGCUGAGUUGGGUGAGCUUUGCCCUCUCCAGGAUGGAGCCCACGGAGCUAUAGUGAAGAGAGAGUUGGAGAUGUGAGGUGCAGCCUACUCUUUGUCAAAUCAACCAGCCAACCAACCAAGAGUUCAAGAGAAAGACCAGCUCUUCUCCACAGCAUUCUGUGACUCAGGAAUAUGCAGGCAUUGACUAGACACCCUUAGAAGUGGCGACAGUGACCCUUGAGCCACAGAGCGGACCUCCAGUUUCUGCCCCCAUCAUGGAGAAGUGGCUUGCUGGUGGCCUCCCGGCCUCUGACCAUGGGCCCAUGGGACUAACCUGGAGCCUACAGUAGCACAGGACAGCAAUGAUACAGAGGAGGAUCACUGUCGCUAGGAUUCCGCCAGUGAUCACAACCGUUCCCGCUGUCAUCCGCCCGGCGCCCCAUCAAACUCUGCAAAGACGCAUGCCGGUCAGUGAGGAAGAGUUGAUCCACAUUCUCUGCACAGUAGUAGAUGGAUGUCCACUCCUGGGCCCGCCCUCCCUGUCUGUCCUGAUUCUGCUGCAUCUGGGCCUCAGCUGCCCCCUGCUCACCCAGUCCUGCAUCCUGUGUGGUCCCCUGGAUGAAGGGGUACCCAUUCCUUCACUCCAAGGUACCCCCUGCCCGGCAGGUGCUCCUAGAAGGCCAGCUUCUACUUCAUCUAGAGGCGGCGGCCUUGCUGCUCCUGACCGGUCUGUGGACCAGCAGCAUGGAUGUGUGCUAACAACAAGGCCUGAGGGCCGGAGGAGCGGGAUCUGCAUUUAAAAAAGCUCUCGGGUGAUUUAUUGGCACAUGAGUUAUUGGCACAGGGAUAUAGGAUGUGCCCAGCUGCUCUGACUGAAAUAUCUCAAAUUCUUUUGAUCUUCCAUUUUCUGUUCCCGGUGCCAGUUCACACUGAGCUGGUGUAACUGGCUCCGUAACUCACAUCCCUGGGGUUGUGUCUGAGUCCCAUUCCUUUCCCUGUAGUUUGGGCUUUUAUCAGCCCCUUCCUUCGGUGCCUGCCUGUGACUCCAGCACCUCUCUAGCACUGCCUGAAAAAUAAAUGUGUGUGUGUGUGUG